GAGAGGAUAAAUCAUUAGCCUAGAAGUUAGACGGCCGUUUUUGGAGUAAGCACUGAACUGCUUUCAUGGCGGCCAUGCUCUCUAAUGAAAUGGUGCUUGAUGAGCUGAGACAUGGAUUCGCCCAGUUUGAGCUGGUUACUUCUCUAGUUGCUUCAGUUUCUGCUUCCAGUUAUAGACCUUAUCAAAGAGGAAAACCAUUUGCCCUUUCUGCUGGCGCCACCGGUCAUCAAUUUUUUGCCAGAAUAGGACCUUCACUAGGUGGAGCUUCGCCAGCCUUAAAGAAAGUAGAACGUUAUUCAGUACAGAAAAUAACAGGUGAUGGGCGCUGCAUGUUUCGUGCUAUGGUAAAAGGGAUGGCUUUCAACAAAGGCGUGAAACUUCACCCUCGAGAUGAAAGAGAUGAUGCAGAUGAAUUAAGGAUGGCUGUAAAGGAGGCUAUUUGUGAUGAUGAGAAAGAACGUCUUAAAUAUGAGGAGGCCUUGGUUGCCAUUACAGUUGAGGAGUCUUUGAGACGAUAUUGCCAACGUAUCGGACGGUCUGAUUUCUGGGGAGGAGAGUCAGAGCUAUUGGUAUUAUCGAAGUUGUGUUGCCAGCCAAUUAUGGUAUACAUACCAGAACAGGAGGUACUGCGUUUGCAGUAAGUCCUGACAUAAUGUGGAAAAGAGGUUGAAAAUGUCAUUUUCACCUUGAAGACAUGCUACCUAGUUGAUCGAUCAAGGCCUAGACCGUAAGACUACAAUUGCAUAAUGGUUGAAAGUUAUCAAACCUUUGUUUUCUUAGCUGCAUGGAGGAAGGGGCUCUGGUUUCAUUCCAAUUGCAGAAUAUGGAGCUGAGUUCCGUAAAGGUUCGAAAAACAGAAAGGCCAGGAAGGCUGUGAGGCUCCUUUAUAGUGGGAGGAACCAUUAUGACCUACUUGUAUAGCAACUUUCCUCACUUUUCAACAGAAUUUUAGCACUGUAAUCUUUUCAAAAUUUUGUAGCAAAUGUCGUGUACACAAUAUUGUUAAUCUGAUGUAUUUCCUUAACUUCAAAAUUAGUAGUAAAUUUUUAAAAGAAAACUGA